UGAACACUGUGAAAUCGCUCCCGGAGUUAACUGAGCGAAAGAAAGUGAUUGACAAACACACCAAUAUCGCAACAGCGCUCUUAGGACAGAUCAAGGAGAGAUCUAUUGACGCUUUCACUAAGAAAGAAAGCGACAUGAUGAUGAGGGGCGGAAUCGACAGAACUGAACUUAUGGCUGCUCUGAAAGGCAAAGGGACAAAGAUGGACAAGCUCCGGUUUGCAAUCAUGUACCUGAUCUCCACAGAAACCAUAAACCAAUCGGAAGUUGAAGCAGUGGAGGCAGCAUUGAAUGAAGCUGAGGCUGAUACAAGUGCGUUUCAGUAUGUAAAGAAAAUCAAAUCGUUAAACGCAUCUUUUGCAGCUACAUCAGCGAAUUCAGCUAGCAGAAGCAACAUUGUAGACUGGGCCGAGAAGCUUUACGGACAGUCUAUAAGCGCAGUGACUGCAGGAGUCAAGAAUCUGUUAUCUAGUGAUCAACAAUUGGCAGUGACUCGAACAGUCGAAGCUUUAACAGAAGGAAAACCAAACCCGGAGAUCGAUUCUUACCGCUUCCUGGACCCAAGAGCUCCAAAGUCGUCUAGCUCCGGUGGUAGCCAUGUAAAAGGACCGUUCAGAGAAGCUAUAGUGUUCAUGAUCGGUGGAGGUAACUAUGUUGAGUAUGGAAGUUUGCAGGAGUUGACUCAGAGACAGUUAACCGUUAAAAACGUUAUUUAUGGAGCCACUGAGAUUCUUAACGGAGGUGAGUUGGUGGAGCAGCUUGGACUUUUGGGAAAGAAGAUGGGAUUAGGAGGUCCGGUCGCUUCAACGUCAUUGUCUGGUGGUCACUGAGUGUUACUCACUGUUACUUUCUUUUUUCUUUUGGCUUUUGAGAGUUUUUUUUUAUUAAUCUAUAAAAUAUAAAUCCCCAGUGGUGAAUUAUUUAACAAACAGUUUACAGUCUCGUUAUAACAUUUUCUACAGAACAUUUUAAGGUGUGUUUAUAACUCCAUUAGUUAAGAUUGUUAAAUGGUUUUUGUCAUAAUCUUUGAAAAAGUAAAUGACAAUUAGCUAGGUUGUCAUUAAUAAUAAAAAUAAAUAAAAAGGUAUGAACAAAAGUCUGAAAAAGAAAUUUGUAAUCUAACAUUACUAAUUUCUAAUUAACAUUUUUUAUGCCAUUUAGUACAGUGUUUUUCCAAAAUAAAAUAUACUCCUAUGAUAUUUUGCAUAAGAAUAUAUUAUACUAAAAAAGAGAAGAGGAAAAAAGCAAAAAAUCAAAAGAAAAAAAAAAAGUAAAGGAGCAACAAAAGCAAAGCAGGUGGUCCGUUCCCAUUUCUCUGUAAUUUGUCUUCGUCUCUACCUUCCAUCUCUCUCACCCACUCUCCUCGGAAACCACAGCGACGGACGGACGGACGGACGAUAAAACUUUUGCCUCUAAUUUGCUCCUACAAAUCUGGAAUCAGCCGGAGCGAAUCUCGAAGCUUAUGAUCUCGACUUGUGAGGAUCCUCUUUUCCUUUUCUUUUUCUUUUGUAUAAUAAUAAUUAUCUCAUCCCCGAUCGAUUUCGAUUUUCAUAUGGUUUCUCGCCAGAAAUGAUCGAUUCUCUCGUUUAUUUCAAUAGCCUCAGAUGAUUGAAGAUGAUAAUUCAACAGUUAAUAACGCUUCUCUUUUUUUUAGUGGCUUUGUGUUUUGACCAGCCAAUCUAAAUCACUGGUCACCUUUGUUUUGAUCUCUGUUUUGUUGAAUUUUUGUUUCAAACUUAAACGAAGCUAAAAGGCUAAUGGGUUGGUCUUAAUUCUGAAUUUUGAGAGAGUUUUAAAAUCAUCUUUUAUGAGCUAAGCCAUGUUUGAAGCUAGAUCUGCCUUUAACUUUGGUUUUGGUUUUAAACUUUUUUGUUUCUAACUUGUUGUAGGCUGAAGAGGCUGGGAAUGGCUGGUAAAGAGGAGACUGAUGUAUCUGCACAAGGGUCUUUAACCAGGGAGGCCACUGAGAUAUGGAGGAGUGAGUUGGAAUCUCGCCGGUUUCAGGUAGAUAGUUUAGAAGCUGAACUUGUGGAUGUCAAGGCUUACCUUGAGUUUGGCUCAGAAGAAGAUGCCAGAAAGGAGUUAGGAGUUCUUUCGGGUAGGGUCAGAUCGACUGCAACUAUGUUGCGUUAUUUGAGAUCAAAAGCUAGAGUCUUGGCCAUUCCUGAUGAUCUAGCAAAUGUGUCAUGCGGUGUGGAACAGAUUGAAGAACUGAAAGGAUUGAACCUUGUUGAGAAAGAUGGUGGUUCAUCUUCUUCUGACGGGGCUAGGAACACUAAUCCUGAAACUAGAAGGUACAGUGGUUCCUUGGGUGUAGAGGAUGGAGCCUAUACUAAUGAGAUGCUCCAGUCCAUAGAGAUGGUUACUGAUGUGCUGGACUCUCUUGUGAGGAGGGUUACAGUAGCAGAAUCUGAGUCUGCUGUUCAAAAGGAGAGGGCACUUUUGGGAGAGGAAGAAAUCAGUAGGAAGACUAUCCAAAUCGAAAAUUUGUCCGUGAAGUUAGAAGAGAUGGAACGAUUUGCUUAUGGGACUAAUAGUGUUCUAAACGAAAUGCGGGAAAGGAUUGAGGAAUUAGUUGAAGAGACGAUGAGGCAGAGGGAAAAAGCUGUGGAAAACGAAGAGGAGUUGUGUCGUGUGAAGAGAGAGUUCGAGUCGCUUAAAAGCUACGUCAGUACUUUUACCAAUGUUCGAGAAACACUUCUUUCGUCCGAGAGACAAUUCAAAACCAUUGAGGAGCUCUUUGAACGGUCAGUCUCAUAUCUUCUUUAUGCAACUGUUCCAUCACUCCUUAACCACAAAGAUUUAAUAUUUUCUUCACCACACCACAAUAUGUUAAUGGUGAAGCAGGUUGGUCACUAAGACGACACAAUUAGAAGGGGAGAAGGCACAAAAGGAGGUUGAAGUACAGAAACUGAUGGAGGAGAAUGUGAAAUUGACAGCACUUCUCGACAAGAAAGAGGCUCAGCUUCUAGCUUUGAAUGAACAAUGCAAAGUUAUGGCUUUGAGUGCAUCAAACAUAUGAAAUUUGCUUUAUCUUUGCAUUGUUGUUGGCUCAUCUCUUAUUUUUUUCUUGAGACAAUGCUUUCGCAGAAGUAGAUGAAUGCAAUCUUCUUCCUUCAUUGUUCUUUGCUUCAAAUGUGACAUUGUAAUUUUUUAUCUGUAGAUUAUUAUGGUUUAUGCAUAAGGAAGAAUGUUCGUACUCCGAAACGGCGAGUAGUUCUUACGUCUGUAUAUCAGACGGCAAGAAUUUGCCAUCGUAGCAAAUUCGUGUAUGACGUGGCAAAUAGAAUUAGCCAACGUCUUUUAUCCACGUGUAAAUACGAUCGCUCUGUUUUCGUAGACUUUGUGUUGAAGAAGUUUCUCUCUAAAACCCCAAAUCUAUUUUUCCCUCCUUUGCGAGAAAUUAAUCGGAGAAAGAAAAAAGUUGACUAGUGCGAUUUUGAGCAAUUUCUUCGUUUCCAUGGAGUCGGAUAUCGAGAUUUUGUCUGAAGCUGAUGCGUCUAUGCGGAAGCUACGCAUUUUCGGAAUUGAUGAUCGCGAAGAUGAGGUAUUGUUUUCUAUUGUCGAUAAACCCUAAAAAAAAUGCCACCUUUGAUUGUUUCUCCGAUGAUUGAUUUUUAGGUUUUCGUUUUCGUUUUCGUUGUUGUGAUUCUGGAACACGAAGGUAGUUCUUUGGUUCUGUAUGAAAUUAUGAAAAUCGGACAUUGUCAUUUUGUUUAGAAUGUCUUCGGAAAUUUUGAAAUGUUCCUGUUUCUGAUUUUUUUUUUCUGUGAUUUGAUAGAAUGGGAGAAGAAGAAUCAAAGAUGUUGAAGUUUAUGUUCCGAUUGUGUGUGGAUCGAUUGCUUUUUAUCUUGGAAAGAAAGCCACAGAGUUAGUGUUUCUAUCUCUUUUAUUCAUGUUGCAAUUUCCAUGAGUUACGGUAAUGCUGCAAUCUUUGAACUUUUUUGGUUCUAAUGUUUUCAUCAACUAGAUAUCGAACACAUAAGUGGACUGUUUAUGUACGUGGAGCUACGAAUGAGGAUCUUGGUGUGGUUAUCAAGCGGGUUAUCUUCCAUUUGCAUCCAAGUUUUAAUAAUCCAACUAGAGUGGUUGAUGCUCCUCCCUUUGCAUUGUCUGAGUGUGGUUGGGGAGAAUUCAAAAUCGACAUAACCGUUUUCUUCCAUACCGAUGUCUGUGAAAAGAAGUUGGAGUUGUGAGUUUCCCUUGUGAUUGUGAAUUUCAGUGGAGUAAGUUGGUUUAUAUCUCUUACGUUUUAGUAUUGAACUUCUUUCCAGGUCUCACGUCUUAAAGCUGAACCCGGAGAAUGCAUAUGGUCCUAUUCCUAAGUCUAUUAAGAUACCCGUUGUCGCUGAGUCUUACAAUGAAGUUGUCUUUCCAGACCCUUUUGAGAGUUUUGUCGCCCGUGUUCAUAAUCACCCGGCUAUACAGAUCUCUAACAUCCCAGAUGGUUUGAACCUGCCUCCUCCAGGUGCAUUCUUGUUCUGACUUCUAAUGAAUUAAUAAUUAUUGCCGGAGGCAUAAUAAUUCUCGCAUUGCAAUGUUUUAGGAGUUGCUGACACUUAUUAUCUGAUGGAAAAAGGAGACACUAAGGAACAUCCACUCAGUCCAUGGUUUUUGAAGUUUUCAGAAGUAGAAGAGCUUUUUAAACUUACUGCAGCUCGUCAGAAGGUUUCUGCAGCCCAACUUACCUUUUCAUUGUUACCACUUUAUAAAUUUAAUUGGUCUCACAUUUUUGAAAAACUCACAAUAGUUUUAACGUGGAUUUCUUAGACGAUACAGCUACAAUUUCCUCUGCUCAAACUUAAAUAGUAGUAGUUAAGACAUUGGGCGUAUUCUUGUUUGGCUUUGUCUUGAUUUUAUAGGAUUGUGUUAGAAAUUCUUAUUAACUGACUGUGUUUACAAUGUAAUUAUAGGUACAAGCUGAUAUUGCCAAGCUAAAAAGACAGUUGAUAAUGGUAGAUGGGCAACCUGAAGGACUUGAGUCUUCCUCUGGCUAUGAAUGUUAAUGAUCAUACCACAACAGAGAUGAGGUUGCUCAGAAAGUUUUUGUGAUAACUGUUAACAGAUCUCGAUGGGGGUUAAAAAACCUUAGAUAUCUUAUUAUCUGAACACCUUUUCUAACUGAUAGAACAUGUAAAAAAGAACCAAUUUGUAGUCAAUAUCGGUGUGUGUACCUACAAAGCACAAAAUGCAUUUGCUCAGUUUGUUUGCUUCUUUGUUUCCAGUUUCUCUCAGACUUGAGCAUCACAGGUUUGUUAUGAAAACACAACUUUAACUUAAUGUUUCUUCUAAAUGGUUUGUUUGCAUACAUGAUGUUGUAUGACAUAGUAUCCUAAAGGUGAAGCUCUGUAUCUUUCAUGCUUUCUUUGUAUAGCCGAUGGAGGCGGUGCGAAACUGGUAUUUGCCUUUUUCUCUUCUAUAUAUGUAAGUCAUCUUGUUAUCGUCUACUACUUGUCAUUUUCAUAUAAAGAUUGCGUGGGAUUUAGGCAUUUUGCAAGACUCUUGUUAAGUUUUCUAGAAGAGACACACAUUCACUUGUAAAGGGUAGGGACCUGUGACAAAGACGUUUAUCAGGCUCUUGUUUAGUGAAAUUGAAAAUAAUCACAUGUGAGCUUAGAAACCGAAAGAGAGGGACAAAGAUGUCGAAAUCAUUGUUUCUCAUAGUGGCCAUAGAGCAUGGGAAAUGAACUUCCCCACUUUAGGGUUAUCCAAGAAAUGAAACUGGUGGCUCAAAGAUGAUGGUGAGGAAUAUAUGUCUGCUUAUGUAUUAUGACACUCUUUGGCUUAGUUGUGGUGUUUUAGGCUUUUGGAUAGUAGCCACAUGGGUGAGUCUUGUGAUUUCAAGACAAUGGACCCUUCACACUUUACCCUCUUGCCUCUUAUUUUUUCUAAUUCCUUGUCUUCUUCUUGUUUCAUCUUUAUCAAUUUUGUUUUUGUGAGAAUUAUAAAUUGUAUAAACAAAGAAAAUUUGUUUUUAAAAUCAAGAUUUAUCUUAAACUUUAAUAGAAGAAGGUGUUGGGGCUUUCGGUUGAUGUCAACUAAGGAAUGAAUUGAUAGUGUCUACGAGUUAUAACCACAACAGGUGUGCCAAUUAAAUUCAGCCAUCUGUCACCAUCAUCUCACUGUCCCCACUCUUUGAUCCCACACCACUCAUCUUUUUGACUUUUCUUUACUCACAUUUUCAUUUUUUUGGGUCAAAUUUCUUAUUUGUUUUUGGUUAAAUUCUAAAAAUAAUACACUUUCUACAUUGUUUUGUACUUAAAAGUCAAAGUUGUAGCUAGUAACUAAGCCAAUAACAUCGUGAAAAGAUGAAACAAGCGCCGAGAUAAGUUCAUCUCCAUUAUAUCCACAGGGAUCAUGAUGAUCAUUACGAUUCUGCUUUUGUUUUUUUAGUUUAACACACAAAUUUUUUGAACAAAACAAUAUCAUCAAGGACGGUGAAGAAGUAGAUGAACACAAGGCAUCGACCUCGAGGAUGGCUUCAUAACAAAACAAAAGAUUAGGUUCUCGCCUAAAGCAUUAAUGUUCUAAUUUUCACAUGGGAACAUACAUCCUUUAUCAUUUGUGUGUAUUAAAACUAAAUGAAAAUUGAUAAUUAAGUGAUCAUCGUCUUAAGAGUAUUUCAGAAUACAUGUCUAGAUUCAUGCGGCUUAUUAAAUGUAACUAUUUUGGUGUUGUAAAAACAAAUGGUAACAACUUAACAACCAAACCAUCUAAUAUGAGCUUUUAAGUGAAAAUAGUUGUAAUUAUUCAGUAGUUUCUUCAUAUGUGUCUAGAACAAAACUCUUUUUUAUUGAAUAGACAUUUUCGGUCAUCACUGAAAGGGUAACUUUAUAGAAAUGUUUUGUCUUAGAUCUAGAUGACAUUGUUGGGGAAAAAAACAAAAUGUACCUCUAUGUUUUUCUUUGUUGAGGGAAGUGGGCAUUUAUGUAUGUUUCAAUAAUGUCCAAAUAUGGUAACAAAAUACACGUGUCCGUAUAUGCAAAAUAAACACAAUGGUUUUGCGAUAUCUGUUUUUUGUCGAGUCCUCCUUAUGUAUGUAUCUCCUCAAGUACGUACUUUUGUUACAACUUACAAAUCUCUUUUACUUCGUCCGUAAUCUAUGUACAUACAUAUAUGUAUCUAACGGGCCAUGGUCUAAUUUAUAUGAUAUUAAAGGUAAGAGAAGAAAAAAUGGACAUUUAUUUUGUAAAAUUGUCUAAGUAUGUAAAGGCAAAAGGGAGACAUUGUAGGGCAACGUUAUAAUCCCUACCAAAAUUUGUUUUGUAUACAUUCUUUCACAGUUUUAAUUGCAUCUCUCUCUUGUCCUUGUUGGCUCUGUCCUCAUUGUUUAUUUGCCCUUGCCUCCUACAUGCCACAUGAUUUUGCUUUCACAAGAACAAAGAAUCUAGGUGUCCUAAUGAAUCAAAACAUGAAAUUUGAUUGGUUUUAGUUUUUCUACAUAUAUAUGAUGUUGGUAUAUACAAAUCAUUGAUAAAUUUUCUAGAUAUAUGAUUAGUUAGAAAGUUCAGUUUCAUUGGACUUUAGUCUAUUCGAAACAUUGUAUCCUCCAUCUUUAAUUGGAAGGCGUAGAGAAACUAGAACUCGAAUCCGUGUACAUGCUUUGCCACAAACUAGUAUACAAUUUUUUCCCCUAUAUAAACAUACGUGUCUACGUGUGUUUUCAUUGUUUAUCCCAAUGCAAAAUCACUCCAUGUGUUUCUAAUGGUUAGUCGUUGAUUUGGUGUACAAGACUAUAUACAUAUUAUCUAAUGAAUAAUUUUGUCAACGUCAUAAUUAAUCAACCUAAUUAUGAUAAGAAAUUACAAAGUAACCAAAUUGUAAGAGUUAGUGUUGUUAAUUUAUCAUUCAUUAAAUUAAUAGUUAAUUAAAUCACUUGCCCUAAACGGAAUGGUAUUAUGUAAUUUUAAUUUUACCGUUUGAUCUUUGUUUGUCAGCAUAAUUUGAUGUUUUGUCCUUAUAUAUAUACAUGCAAAUUUAAAUGUUAUAACAUUCAUAAAAUAGUGACAUAUAUAUAUAUAUAUAUAUUAUACAUGCAAAUUUAAAUGUUAUAACAUUCAUAAAAUAUUGCCACUAUUUGGUCAACGUCAUAAGUAGCCAAACCUAUUUAAUUAUAAUCAACGAACUAUACUACCCAAUUUGAUGAAGAAAAAAAAACUAUAGCCCCCAAUUUUAAAAGUAUAGUGAUAUACUGCAUUAAUGAUUAUUUCUCUAUUAAUUUAUUAGCCUUCCAAACUGUCCAUAUAAAUACUUCUCCAUUGUACCUCUUACCUCCAUAUAACAUUCUUCAAGCAAAAACUAAUUCCACAAAAGAAAAAAAAAGAACAAUGGCAAUAAAGAGAUCGAGCAAAGCGACGUCGUCUCAAGCAGCAUCUAUCAAGCAAAUAGUAAAGAGAUGCUCGAGUCUAAGAAAGAUGAAGAACGUAAAUGGUUGUUACUAUAACCAAGAAGAUGAUCUUCCUCAAGACGUGCCAAAAGGUCAUUUUCCGGUUUACGUGGGACCGAACCGAAGUCGGUACAUCGUUCCUAUCUCAUGGCUCCAUCACUCCGAGUUCCAAACAUUGCUCCGACUAGCUGAGGAAGAAUUUGGGUUUGACCAUGAUAUGGGUCUAACCAUUCCUUGUGAUGAAGUCUUCUUCAGGUCUCUUAUCUCCAUGUUUAGAUAAAGCCCGAUAUCGGAGACAGAUUAUUAUUCUUGAAGAAAAGAUUUCUUUAUUGGAAAGAAAAUUUGAAGCCGAGAUCAGUAAAUCCAAAAACAAGAAACAAACUCAUUUUUUAGGGUUGUCUGAUUAAGAUGCAAGAACAUGGCUAAAAAGCUUCGUAGGCAUUAACCCGUUUGUGGUUUUUUUCUUUGCUAAAUUUAUUAGUCAUUUUCUCUUUUAAAUAUUUUGUUGUAGUUGGGGUGGGGUGGGAGACUUUUUCCCUCAAGUCAACGUAAAAUGUUGAUCGAUGAUCUUGAGAGGAUUAGCUAGUUAACUUCUAAAACUUUAUUGGUUAAGAUCAAUCAAGAAUCCUCAAUAGUUUUGGUGGUUUGUGCUAACGAUGUUUAUGUGUUAUCAUCGUUCGAGUUAAAAUCCGCGUAAUAUAUAAUGUUGUUUUAUAAAAAAAAUUAGUACAUGAAUGGUCCAACAAUUCAUAACUCACGUUCUUAACCUAAUUUGUGACUAAGACUAACUAAUCAUGUGUAAACAGCUUUCUAUUUCUUCGAAAAAUUUAGAAUUACAAAGACAUAGUUUCGUAUGACAAAGUAUCACGGUGUCCAUCAUUUGACAAAAGUAAUGAUAGAAAUAUUACUUAGCAUCUUUAUAAAAGUAAUACUUUCUCUUUUACUAAGAUACAGGUUACGAGAUUAAUCAUAAAACACUCGAGUCAUAAAACAAUUUGUUUUGUUUUCUUUCAACACAAAAGUUUUGCUAUACGUGUAUUCAAUAUUUAUUUGUCGGUGUGUCAAUCACCGUAAUUUGACUCAUUUCCUUUUACAUGUAGACGUAGCAAGUAGUAUUUCAAAAGAUUUUAUGUGUAUAUAUCAAUUAUAUUGAGUCAGAUUUUUGUGAUGGAUCAUUAUGGUCCUACCAACCAGAGUCCCUACAUAUACUUGUAUCUGUGCGAAUUUAUAGUUGUUACCUAAGCUACAAAAAAAAUUGAAGAGAUCUUCCGUAAUAUAGAUGAACUAAUUUGAUGUCCCAUUAUGUUUCUCGUAAAAGAAGAAAUACAUGUGUAUUUGACAAGAUGGUACAUAGACCGCUAAACCAUCAUGUCCUAACAAAGUAGAUUGGUAUCAUUUGCAAAAUAUGUCACUUAACAUUAAUGUUCUUCAUUCCUUAAUACCAGUCUACUUGAUGAGUCUCUCCUCUUUUUGAUGAGCUAGUCUCGCACUUUUUUUCAUCUCUAACUUUUGUAUUUUAUGAAAUGUUCAUAGACUUUAUUCAAGGCACAUUACUAUCAUAUAUCUGGAUUUAAAUUGCCAUACCGUAUUCACGAGACAAUUUAUAUGUAAUAACAAUUUAAAAAAUGCAUUGUCUGCUCAGAAGCUAGCUUGCCCAUAUUGUGUGUUCUUCUAACAAUUUUUUAUUGUUUCUUCUGAGGGUUUUUGCAUUAAAUAUGUUAUUGUUGACAUCAUAGAUGCUAGUGGAUAUAUCAUCGACGACGAACUCGAGUUGCUUAAUAAUUAUUUCCAGUUUCAUACAUCAUCAUCAUAUUAUAGAACAUAUACCUUUAUCAUAUGUAUCUCAAAAAUCUAUAAUCAGCUUGAUAUUAACUUAUUCUAAAGUUCAAAUCAGUUUUAACUUUUAAGAAAAUAUUAUGAGUUUUCUAAUUUGAUUCGGUUUUCGCCGGGUUAACCUGAAAUCGGAAUCUGGAUUGGACAAAGUACAAACCGUGGGUUAGUAUUAGUAACAUCCAAUUUGGGCUUGCCCGUAUUUGUCUGCUCAGAAGCUAGCUUGCCCAUAUUAUGUGUUCUCCAAAGAAUUGUUUAUUGUUAUUUUGGAGAGGGUUUUUGCAUUAAAUAUGUUCUUGUGUUGACAUUAUUGAUUAUUAGAUGCUAGUGAUAUACCAUCACCAAAAUUAGAAUUGCAUUAUCAUCAUUUUAUAUAUCAAUCUAUAUAUUUAUCAUAUGACUCAGACUAUCAUGAGACGCAUUUUUUUUAAGUAUUAUGAAUAAUAUACCACUUGUUCACGUUUUAACGUUUGAAAAACAUGAUUUUGCUACUUUUUACGAUUCAAAGUAUUUAUUAAGAAUUUACGUUCUUGAAAAGUGAUUAUACUGUAUAUAUAACUAUAAGUAAAUAAAACUUUUUUCGACGAAAUUUCUGAUGAUAAAUAAAAGGUCGGAUAUAUUUGACUUUUUUUUUUUUUUUAAUUAUUUUUUGACGAUAAAUUUUUCGUUGAAAAAUCAUCGAAAUUUUCGACGGAUUCCAAUGAUCAAAAAUUCGUCAAUAAUUUCCAACGAUAUUCUGACUAAACUAAAUCUGAUGAAAUAUUUUUGACGGCUUUCCAACCAAAAUAUUUCGUUGUGACUUGUCAAAAAUCCGUUAGAAUACUAAGCAACUUUUCGACAGAUUUUCAGCAAAAAUAUUCGGUAAUAUAACGUGUUAAAAAUAUGAUAAAAAAAAAAACUUGAUGAAUCUACUAAAACUAAAUUUUCAAUCAUAUAUAUCUAUUAUUCAUAUAUUUCAUUCAUUUUAUUAUUUUUCUCUUAACAAUUAUUUAGUUAUUCUGGUAUCGUGUAAUUAUAUUCAUAUGAUUUAUUCUGAUAUUGAUUCGGUUAGCAUCCGGAUAAAUCUGGGUUGGGCUUUUUAACUUGGUUUUUCUAAGAAAAAUUCUAAUAUGAUUUGGUUAGCAUCCGGAUUAGUCUAGUUUGGUAGGCCUGCCUUUGUGAUUCUUAACUCGGUCUUUUGUAUGGGUUUGAACAAUUACUACACCAUUUAGAUUCUUCUGACCCAUAUCAAAUAAAGAUCCACUUAGGCCCAUUAGGGUUAGAACAAACAUGAGGUUGCAGAAUAAAAAGGGUUCAUUUUCCUCACUCUCAAGUUGGAUCUCAAAACCCUAAUAUCUGAACUUCGCCGUCGAGAGCAUCCAUGGGUCGUGUCAUCAGAGCUCAACGUAAGGGUGCGGGUUCCGUCUUCAAAUCCCACACUCACCACCGCAAAGGUCCGGCUAAGUUCCGUAGCCUCGAUUUCGGCGAGAGAAAUGGUUACCUCAAGGGCGUCGUGACGGAGAUCAUCCACGAUCCUGGUCGUGGUGCUCCUCUUGCUCGUGUCACUUUCCGUCAUCCUUUCCGUUUCAAGAAACAAAAGGAGCUCUUCGUCGCCGCCGAAGGUAUGUACACCGGUCAGUUCUUGUACUGCGGUAAGAAAGCUACUCUCGUCGUUGGAAAUGUUCUCCCUCUUAGAUCUAUUCCUGAAGGAGCUGUUGUCUGCAACGUCGAGCAUCACGUCGGUGAUCGUGGUGUCCUCGCUAGAGCUUCUGGUGAUUACGCCAUUGUUAUCGCUCACAACCCUGACAGCGACACUACUAGGUUUGUUUCUCUUAUCCAAAAAUCUUCUGAGGCUUAUAAACAUUUUCAGAUCUGUUGAUUGUUUGUUGUAGAUUAUGAUGAUCUUAAUCAGAUUAAUUAGAAAAUGCUUAUGUAUCAUUGGUUAUUUAGUGUAGUUUAUGAUGAUGUUAAUGGAAUCAUUUCGUUAAUUAGAAAUGCUUGUGGUAUAGUUGUUGUAGUCUUGUGAAUGAUGAUUUGAGUAUAUGUUUGCGCAGGAUUAAGUUGCCAUCGGGUUCGAAGAAGAUUGUCCCAAGUGGAUGCAGGGCUAUGAUUGGACAAGUUGCUGGAGGUGGAAGAACUGAGAAGCCGAUGCUCAAGGCAGGAAACGCGUACCACAAGUACCGUGUGAAGAGGAACUCAUGGCCUAAGGUUCGUGGUGUGGCUAUGAAUCCAGUGGAGCAUCCUCAUGGAGGAGGUAACCAUCAGCACAUUGGUCACGCCAGUACUGUUAGGCGUGAUGCACCUCCUGGACAGAAGGUUGGUCUUAUUGCUGCAAGGAGGACUGGUCGUCUCAGAGGUCAAGCUGCUGCUUCAGCUGCCAAGGCAGACUAGAGUUAAAAGAGAUAAACUUUGUUUCUCUUGUUUUCUAUGUUUCAAGUUUUGUUGUCUGUGUUUCCUUUUGAACCUCAUUCUGAAAUCCUAAAAGAUUUUUAUGAUAAACCUUUCUCUCUUCUCGAAAAGCUUAUGUUAUUCACAUUGCAUACUCUCAAUACGCAAAGUUUUCAUUUUGUACAUAUGAAAAUUAUGUAAGAACAACGUAACCAAUUCUCGUGAUCGUUAAAGUGGUAGUUGAAUUGCAGAUUUUCAUCGAAACAGCAGCCCGCCGCAUUGCUAUCACAAAGAAUCAAGUCUUUGGUGUUAGUCGAAUUGAAGCAAUCUGAAGUACCUAAAAAAAAAUUACAAGGAAUCUUAAAAACGAAUCUUGCAGCAAACCUUCAAAAUGACACAGAGGACUCAAAGACAUUUAUGUGCGUAAUACAAGUCUGAUUCUAUAGUUGAUUAGCUGAGUUUUGGUAAUGUGUAAUAUUUGUGUUUAUGUGAUUGAGAUUUACCUAAAUUGUCUUUGUCCAUCAAUUUUUAGCGUUUGAGACUUUGAGGAAUUGGUUUUAGUAUCUGAUCCAAUAGCUAGAUUUGUGUUGCUCUUGCUCUAUAAUUGUCUUCCAGGUUGAAUAUGGUCCAAGGAUAAUUGGUUAUCGUCGGCUCUUAGAUGUAUUCUGCUCUAGUCAUGAUUCUAGACAAGUGUUUGGACAAGGUCCUGAUGUGGGUAACCAAUACAGGUAAAAGAGCUGUUUGGUUAUCUUUGAGUUUGUUUGUUUGGCCCAAAUCUAUAACAUUUGAAUAUAUGUUGAACAGAUCCUGUAUUUUCACUAACUGUACAGAAGAGUUGAGACUGGCUUCUACCAGCAAAGAAAGGGAGCAACUUAAUACAAGAAGCAGUAUCGUGACUUCUCUCUUGUCGUUGACUCCUCUCUUCACGAGUCUCAUCUCCGACGCUUCUUCUCUUUUCUUCUGUUGCUUUGGUUCUCAUCUUCAUCACACUUAUUGCAAGUUUGAUCAAAGGCUCAAAAUCCAACAAAAUUCACCAUUUUAGACACCUUGGGAAGCACGUUAGCCGGAAAACCUUGAAAAACCCACAAGGGUUUUCAAUGCGCCUCCUUUGGAUAAUUGGAUCAUACAUACACCAUUAUUGGAUAAUACUCUCUUGAGUCAUGAAGAUUAACAGAAAACAACAUAUCAUCAAUAACACAAGACGGCUCUUGCCUCAGAUCACUCAACUUAUCUAUUUCUCUCCUUGACUUCAAAUUAGUUUCCCUGGGUUGGUAAGCAUAAGAACAGAACCGUGCUUAUCCCUCAUGUCAAAUUUUCUCUUCCAUCACCACAUAUGUCACAAACUCUCAGUCGCAGAGGUGCGUAGGUUCGGACAGAAGGUCUUAUUGCUGCUAGGAGGAGAGGUCAAGCUGCUGCUUCAGCCGCCACUAGGGUUGUUAAACAAUAAAUAAAUUAAAAAAAAACAUUUGCUUCUCUUUUAUAUGUAUAUAUAUCCGUUUGGACCUUGUUCUCAAAUUGUAAACAUUUUUAUGAUAAUCUUUGUCUUCUCUCUCGAAAAGUUUAAAGUAUUAUUGCAAAUUGUAAAAAGUUAUCAUCGCAAGUUUUGAUUAUUGUUCUCGACCGAAUAAUUUUAAUAUUUAAACGAACCGUAUCAAACCGAGUAUUUGGUUAUAUGUUUAAAACGUCUUUAAGUAUCAACUAAGUAGAAAUAUGGUCACCAAUUGCUAACUGGUAAAAGCGGUUGAGACUCAGCAUGAUGAGAGAGUCUCACCACGGUUCGAGUCGCGAUAUUGGUACCUCGCUCCUACCAAAAGGAAUCAUGCCUUAAUUGUUAGCCGAAAUAAAGUAAUCUAAAUCACUUCUUUU
rnacentral:lncRNA from 1 species